rnacentral:tRNA from 1 species
GGCCCCAUCGUCUAGCGGUCCAGGACUCUGCCCUUUCACGGCAGCAACACGGGUUCGAACCCCGUUGGGGUCA